AUGCAUGAAGGUACUGACUCCGUCAAGAAAUCCAAGUUGGAUGUGCUCCAAAGUCAGCUUGACAAGUUCAAAAUGAAGGAUGGUGAAGGUGUCACUGAAAUGUACUCUAGGCUUGCACUUAUCACAAAUGAGAUUGCCGGCUUAGGGAGUGAAGAGAUGACCGACAGAUUCAUCAUCAAGAAGAUCCUAAGAGCAUUGGAUGGAAAGUAUGAUACCGUGUGCACAUUAAUCCAAAUGAUGCCAAACUACAAAGAUCUCAAGCCAACGGAAGUCAUUGGAAGAAUUGUUGCUCAUGAGAUGUCACUCAAGGAUAAGGAGGAACUUCACAACAAGUCAAGUGGUGCUUACAAAGCCUCAAGUGAAGCCCCCACAUCGUCAAGUGAGAAACAAACCUUCAAUGAAGAAUUGAGCUUAAUUUUGAAUAACUUCAACAAAUUCUACAAGAGUAGAAGCAAAGAAAGAAGCUCCAAGUCAAGGUCUUAUAAUGACAAGAGAUCUUCUAGUUGA
rnacentral:rRNA from 1 species